rnacentral:rRNA from 1 species
GAUUAAGCCAUGCAUGUGUAAGUGUAAAUGUACUAGUUUGGAACUGCGAAUGGCUCAUUAUAUCAGUUAUAGUUUAUUUGGUGAAGUGUACUACUUGGAUAACCGUAGUAAUUCUAGGGCUAAUACAUGAGUAAAGUCCCAUUGGGAUGUGUUUAUUAGAAUGAAAACCAUAUGCUUCGGCAUGAUAGUGAGUAAUAGUAACCUAUCGUAUCGCAUGCUUAAAGUAGCGAUGAGUCUUUCAAGUUUCUGCCCUAUCAGCUUUCGAUGGUAGCAUAUGGGUCUACCAUG